AUGUCCUACGGGAGGCAGCAGUGGGGAAUAUUGCACAAUGGGGGAAACCCUGAUGCAGCGACGCCGCGUGAGUGAAGAAGUAAUUCGUUACGUAAAGCUCUAUCAGCAGGGAAGAAAAUGACGGUACCUGAGUAAGAAGCCCCGGCUAACUACGUGCCAGCAGCCGCGGUAAUACGUAGGGGGCAAGCGUUAUCCGGAUUUACUGGGUGUAAAGGGAGCGUAGACGGUGCGCCAAGUCUGGAGUGAAAGGCCGUAGCUUAACUGCGGAACUGCUUUGGAAACUGGCGACCGA
rnacentral:rRNA from 1 species